rnacentral:rRNA from 1 species
GACGAACGCUGGCGGCGUGCUUAACACAUGCAAGUCGAGCGGCGCGGCGAACGGGGGAGUCACGCGUGCGUAACUGCCCCCCUCUCUGGGAUAACAGUUGGAAACGGCUGCUCAUACCGUAUAGUGGGGACUGACUCGCGUCCUAUCAGCUUGUUGGUGGGGUAGUGGCCUCCCACGGCGACGACGGGUAGCCGGCCUUCGAGGGCGACCGGACACAUUGGGCGUAGCUACGGCCCAAAGUCAUACGGGAGGCAGGAGGGGGGAAUAGUGCACAAGGGGGGAAAGCCUGAGGCAGGACCGCCGGGGGCGGGAGGACGGCCUUCGGGUGGGAAACCGCUUUCAGACAUGACGCGUUAGUGGCAGAAGAAGCACGGGCUAACUACGUGCCAGCAGCCGCGGUAAUAC